rnacentral:misc_RNA from 1 species
GGUUGGAUCAUUACAAAGAUUCAAUACGGUUGAGUUCACUAUAUCCUGUCAAUCUUUGACGGGAGAACUCCCGUAAUAAUACCCGCAUUUUGUGCAUUGUACAUGUCCCUGGUGGAGGGAAAGCAAGUGGCGAUCCCACUUCUUUCCAUGCUGAACAGAGUCUUUUUAACAGAUUGUGUUCGAUGAAAGCGCUCCACCAGACUUGUUUUUGUUGAACUUUUGUUUUAAAAUUCAAUAUUGUCUGAUUUCAAAGUAUUUGUAGUAUAAAUAUACAAACAACUUUUGGCAACGGAUCUCUUGGUUCUCGCAACGAUGAAGAACGCAGCGAAAUGCGAUAAGUAGUGUGAAUUGCAGAAUUCAGUGAAUCAUCAAAUCUUUGAACGCACAUUGUGCUCCCUGGUAUUCCGGAGAGCAUGCCCGUUUCAGAAUCAUUUAAAUCUCACAACCAAAGGUGGGGUGAGCCAUAUGGCCAUCUUGCGUUUGGAUGUGGAUCAUGGGUACCCUGAUUCAACUCUUCGUCGAGCUGAACUCAACGAAUGAGUACAGGAUCAGGUACCUUAAAUGAAGUGUAUAUGCUAUGGAGGUGCAUAAGGCCAGGAUUAAAAGGCGCUAAUACAAUGUUUCUUCAAUUGAAGAAUGGUACUUCUCGCUGAUUGUCUGGGCUGAAAAGGACUUAUAUUCAUAGUGUAUCUAUAGAGUUGGGGUUAAGGUUAUCUUCCUUAACUGUUAGCAUAAUUGCACUAACUCUCCAUAACUGGUGCCCAAUGUGGGUGCCAAUUAUGAUAACUUGGUCUGAAAUCGGGUAAGAAAACCCGCUGAACUUAAGCAUAUCAAUAAGCGGAGGAAAAGAAACUAACAAGGAUUCCCCUAGUAACUGCGAGUGAAGAGGGAAAAGCUCAAAUUUGAAAUCUCACAGGGUUACCUGUGUGAAUUGUAGUUUAGAGAAGUGUUUUCGGGGGCAGCUUGGGUAUAAGUCCUUUGGAAUGAGGCAUCAUAGAGGGUGAGAAUCCCGUAUAUGAUCCAAUGUCUGCUCCUAUGUGAUACACUUUCUAAGAGUCAGGUAGUUUGGGAUUGCUGCCUAAAAUGGGUGGUAAAUACCAUCUAAAGCUAAAUACAGGCGAGAGACCGAUAGCGAACAAGUACCGUGAGGGAAAGAUGAAAAGAACUUUGAAAAGAGAGUUAAACAGUACGUGAAAUUGCCAAAAGGGAAACGCUUGGAACCAGUAUUGCAGAAAGGUAAUCAGCUAUGCUUACCGCAAGGAACAGCAUGGUGCACUUGCUUUUUUGCAGGUCAACAUCAGUUUGGUUUAAGGUAAAAAGUCACAGGAAGGUGACUUGGGUUCGCCCAAGUGUUAUAGCUUGUGAUGAUGCCUUGAACUGGACUGAGGUCUGCAGCGUUAUUUGGGUUGCCUGUUGCCUCUUGAAACUUGCGUGUAGACAGCGUGCUGACUGGAUGCAAGUGUAGGGAGCCCAGCAGGUUCAUCACACCAACGCUUGGGAUGUUGACGAAAUGGUUCCAAACGACCCGUCUUGAAACACGGACCAAGGAGUCUAACAUAUAUGCGAGUAUUUGGGUGGUAAACCCUUAUGCGAAAUGAAAGUGAUUUUAGUGGGAUCUUCGGUGCACCAUUGACCGGUCUGGAUUUUUUUGAUGGACCUGAGUAAGAGCAUAUCUGUUAGGACCCGAAAGAUGGUGAACUAUGCCUGAAUAGGGUGAAGCCAGAGGAAACUCUGGUGGAGGCUCGUAGCGAUUCUGACGUGCAAAUCGAUCGUCAAAUUUGGGUAUAGGGGCGAAAGACUAAUCGAACCAUCUAGUAGCUGGUUCCCUC